rnacentral:tRNA from 1 species
UGCCUGUCACGCAGGAGGUCGCGGGUUCGAUUCCCGUCCGUUCCGCCA